GAUGAACGCUGGCGGCGUGCCUAAUACAUGCAAGUCGAGCGAACAGACGAGGAGCUUGCUCCUCUGACGUUAGCGGCGGACGGGUGAGUAACACGUGGAUAACCUACCUAUAAGACUGGGAUAACUUCGGGAAACCGGAGCUAAUACCGGAUAAUAUAUUGAACCGCAUGGUUCAAUAGUGAAAGACGGUUUUGCUGUCACUUAUAGAUGGAUCCGCGCCGCAUUAGCUAGUUGGUAAGGUAACGGCUUACCAAGGCAACGAUGCGUAGCCGACCUGAGAGGGGGAUCGGCCAAACUGGAACGGAGACACGGUCCAGCCUCCUACGGGAGGCAGCAGUAGGGAAUCUGCCGCAAUGGGCGAAAGCUUGACGGAGCAACGCCGCGUGAGUGAUGAGGGUCUUCGGAUCGUAAAACUCUGUUAUUAGGGAAGAACAAAUGUGUAAGUAACUAUGCACGUCUGGACGGUACCUAAGCAGAAAGCCACGGCUAACUACGU
rnacentral:rRNA from 1 species